UACGGAGGAUCCAAGCGUUAUCCGGAUUUAUUGGGUUUAAAGGGUGCGUAGGCGGCCUAUUAAGUCAGGGGUGAAAGACGGUGGCUCAACCAUCGCAGUGCCCUUGAUACUGAUGGGCUUGAUUACACUUGAGGUAGGCGGAAUGUGACAAGUAGCGGUGAAAUGCAUAGAUAUGUCACAGAACACCAAUUGCGAAGGCAGCUUACUAAGGUGUUAAUGACGCUGAGGCACGAAAGCGUGGGGAUCAAACAGGAUUAGAUACCCUGGUAGUCCACGCCCUAAACGAUGAAUACUCGAUGUUAGCGAUAUACAGUUAGCGUCAAAGCGAAAGCGUUAAGUAUUCCACCUGGGGAGUACGCCCGCAAGGGUG
rnacentral:rRNA from 1 species